AAGAAGCUGCUCCUGGUCUUGCAUACUUUCACAUCCCCUUACCGGAAUAUGCAAGUCUUGAUUCAUCAAACAUGACAGGUGUGAAAAUGGAAACAUAUAGCGGUGAUGGCAUUAGUUCUGCGUCGGUGAACUCUGGUUUCUUCACAACCUUGGUCGGAGCAGGAGACGUGAAGGCCGUUUUCGUUGGCCACGAUCACCUGAAUGACUUCUGCGGCAAGCUAAUGGAUAUACAACUUUGUUAUGCUGGAGGGUUCGGAUACCAUGCUUAUGGAAAGGCUGGAUGGUCUCGGAGGGCAAGAGUGGUGGUAGCUAGCUUGGAGAAGACAGAUAAAGGAAGCUGGGGAGCUGUCAAAUCAAUUAAAUCAUGGAAGCGCCUCGAUGAUCAGCAUCUUACUGGAAUUGAUGGUGAGGUCCUAUGGAGCAAGAGCACUCCCGGUAAGAUAUCAUGUAAUACUGCUUGGAGUAUACUCUUUUUCAUGUUCUUAUAAAAUUAUGAUUCUUUUAAUCUUAUGCUGUCCUUGGACUAAUGGUCUAGUUUGGUUUUCAUUACAGGAAGUAGUGGAAAAAAACAAAUUGGUGGAAAUUAAGAGUUUGAAAGAAAUGCAGUGCAAGAGAAAUAUUGGUGUGUAUUCACAUUACAUGAUUACUUAUACAGAUUUUUAUUCAUAAAAAUUGGAAACUCUAAAUAUACAUAUCAUGUAAUUUGAAACUGCAAUAGAAGGCUGAAGAUUACAAAGAAGAAAUGAAGUUCAUUAACUACUUAGGAGUAUUGCAUUAAUUUGAAGUUUAUAUGUAUCGCCUUAGAACCAAAAAGAAUUUGAACAACUAAAUCAGAAUUGUUUUUUUGGCCUCAAGGGAGUAAUCAAGUUAAAUUAAUUCAAGGGGAACUCUAAUAAUAUUGAUAGAAACAUAAGACUGCAAAAGGAUUCAUCUAAUUUUUUUUGGGUAAAUCAAGAUGUUUUUCACACAUAUUUCUGAAGACUAAUUUCUUGAAGUAAUUGAGAUUCAUUUUAAUUGAAAUAUUUUAAAACACAUUGUUUUAGACACAGUCACGUAAUUAACAAUUCAUGUUGGUAUGCGGUAUAGGUUUGCGGUACGCGACAUGAGACGAAUUCUUAUCAUCUUAGCGAUGUGUCUAAAACAUAUUUAAAGAAUCCAACUAUUUGUCAUUUGUGUCAUGCCAUGCUUAACGGAUUAUUAUCAUUUUAGUUAUCCUAAAAUUCACCCUUAUAUAUCUAUUGUUAAACGUAUAAGGGUGAAUUUAAAUAUUAUUGUCCUUAAAGUUAUGAGAUGAAUAUCUUUUUGGACGUUAUUCCCUUGGUAGCAGCAAUAGAUAAAAUCAGCUCAAACAAUUCUAAAAUAAUAAUAAUGAUAUUUUAUAUAAUCAAAGUUAUAUAUAAAACUAAGUUAGAAGAAGAACAAACUAUAGGAUUACUCUCAACUAGUCACAAACACUCACUCUCACACAGUGGCGGAUCUUGAUAUCAUUUUUUGGAGGUGCCAAAUAUUUGUCGAAUAUAUAUUAAAACGUUUCAAACAAUAUACAAUAUUGUAAACUGGUGUGAAGGUGCAAAUGUUUGAUUGUAACAUAAAGGAUGCCGGUUCAAUUCCUACUGGGAGAUAUUUUUAGUAUAAAAUAUGAAGAAUUCGGUAAAAAAAAUAUAGAAAAAGGGUGCCAAGGGAUCAAACAACACAGGACCAUUUACAUAACCGCUGGAACAACAACACAUUACUGUUAAUAUCAUGCUCACACACAACAUUAGAUCAAAACCAAGACAUAAUGGUUUGUAAUCAAGAUUUGAAGAAUACCGUCAUUGCAAAUAAAUGAUCAUAUAACAUAAUAGUAGGGCUAAGAUAAAGUAUGGAUGGUUUUGCUAAACUAGCAACCAAAUUAAUUUUCCUCCUAAUGAACUCAAUCUUGUAAUACGAAAAUGUUAAUAAUUUGUACCAAAAGAGGAAGAAAAGAAAAUGAUUGAUAAUUCCUUUACAUUGCCUAAAAAUACCAAACACUCCAUUUAUGUUCAUAAGUAAACGUAACAAAAGGAUUAAAUAAAUAGUGUAUAAUUAUUACGAUAAUUGUUGUAUCAUGGUCAAAAUGAAAGAAAUGGAGAAACUUCUUUGUGCUUAUCUCUCCAAAUGGAAUAAAUGGAGGGAAGAAGGUAUAUCAUGCGCAAUUACAUCGAUUAUUUCAUUUGUUCAAGAUAACUGACAUAUAUUUUCGACAAAUGUUUUUUCAUAUUGUUGACUAAAUGAUUAAAAAAUUCAAACAUCUAUAACUUAUGUCACAUUACGUUUAUAUAACAAGACUUGAAUCCCCAAUAAAAGAAAUAAGAUUCAAGUCAUGAAAAAUAUGGUUAAAAGUCAAAAGAGAAGACCGUACCAACUUGUCUAGCCAAAUCCUUCAACAGAGUUUCAAUAAAGUUGAUAAAUAAUUUGCCCUAAAAAAUAUCCUUUCAAACAAUUUACAAAUCCUAAGAGCAUCUACAAUGGUGAGGUCUUCACCAUUUAAGACCUAGUACCUAAUAGGUACUCCCAUUGUGGGAAAAUUUUUUUGGGGGUCUUCUAAAACAUGAGGUCUAACUUAAGACCCCAUCUUUAAGUGGUCCUCACACACUUUUUUAUUAAAAUAAUAUAAUAGUGGUGGAAUUUAAAUGAUUAAAAGUUAGUGGUGAGACCCAUUUAGACUUUUUGUUAGAAGAUCUCCAUUGAGUGAUCGAGUACCUAUUAAAUACUGUUAUUAUAAAAUAAUAAAAAAGUGAUGUGUAGAAGUAAGACCCACUUAAACCCUUCAAUUUGAGGAUCUCCAUUGUGGAUGUUCUAAGACACUAUUUUUUUUCCCACAUGAUUGUGUGAUAGAACUUGCAAAUCUAAUUGUUGUCUUGGACAUGAAUGGACCUUUAUUGGAGCUUUGGUAAAUACCUUGUGUUUGGCUUAUGUGACUAGGCUUGUGGAGGAGAGAAUGUUGAAACAAGAUAUACUUUUACAUAGUUGCAUAUUGAUAUCCAGUGAAUGGCUAAAUCCCCAACCUUGAUAUAUUGGCAUGAAUGCUGAUCAACAUAAUAUCUUACACCCAAGUUAAGGAAAUAUAUAUUUCUUGGUCACCUAAUCUUAUUUAUUGGCUAGUGAAUAACCUGCAAAUACCUAUACUAUCUAUAUUAUUGUGGUCUGGCUUACUAUUCAUUCACAACGGACCAAUGAUUAGUAUCACGGACAGAAUAGGAAUGGUAAUUUAUAAGACAGGUGGCAGAUGGAAGCUAGUAAAUAAUAAAGGGUUGUCAAAUAUUAACAAUGGGUACAACGUAACAUGAUACAGCUUUAUUAUAUUAUUGAACACAAAUAAUAUUUUAUCUCAAGAGGAAGAAUUAUAUUAUGAAAUAGAGAAAUGAUAUUUGAACAUCCAUUUGGUGAUAAUUUUUGGGACAAUUUUCUCUCUCAUACUCAUAUCAUUUUUACUUUAUCUCUCUAUUGUUUUGGUUUCCAUGCAAAUACUUAUUUUUUCUUUGUAAAAUAUGAUUAUCACAUAAGUUAUCAACCAAAUAACCAAAUUGGUUGUUCAACGGUGACUUUUCAAUCCAAUAACUAUUUGUAAAACAUCCUCACACGUAAGUGUAUAGUUUUUAAAUGCAAUUAAUUUUGUCUUACAUUAAUUACAUAUUUGUAUUUUUUUUUAUAAAUUUGUUCGACAUGGACUUUGAAAUCAUUCCUCUAUCCUAAUGCUAAAUAUUUCUUCUUUUUUUGAAGAAAACUUUUAUAUAAUUCAAAUGACUUGUUAAUGAAUCCCAACCUUACGGGGGAUUUUACUAUGGAGAUUGAUUGUUUUAUAAUAGUUAUACUUAAAUCCAAGUGACAAAAACUAGAGAUGCAUACUUGUGAUGAUAGGUGAAUAUUUUACUAAGAUGAUCAAACCAACUUCUCACUUUUGUUUAUUAUGGUACGUAUCCAUCAAUAUAAGUCAUUUAAGUAAAAAAUUAUCUCACUUUAUAUGUUAUUUUACGGUAUGAUAGCUCGUGAGAGGAAUAGACACUUGUUGCAUGAUUAUCAUCACACAGUUCUAAUUGCAUUUUCAAACUUGCUUGAGUGUGCCUUUUGGGCAUAUCCACAGUAGCAUGUUAACAAGAGUUAGAGGCGGGGCCGGACCUUGUGGUGUGCAAGGAGCUCAAUGGAACUGAGCCUCCUCAAAGUAUGAGCUUUAAAAAAAAAAUUAUAACUCAGUAGUACUACCCCACUAAAAAAAAAUUAUUUUCUUUCUCUCUGAUACCACGCGUUUCAUCACUAUCACUCCAUCAUACUUUCAUUUUCUUCUUCCCUGAUUUGAUUUCCUUUUCCUCUUAUGUUGUCUUGUUUUAGGCCUAUUCGAAUUAGGUCAUCUUGCUUUUGGUGUUAGGUGUGUGUUUUUUUGGGAGGGUGGUUUGAGUUUGAGGUUUCUUAUGUAUACGGUAGUGAUUUUCACAUUUGCGUGUAUGCAUAUAUACGAUACCUUGUAUUUAUCUUUUAAAAAAUUUAAAUAGAACAUUGUUCUUUUAAAAAAAUUACGUUUUUAUUUUAUUAAGGAUCUCUUUUGACUUACAGGAUCGAACUUUCAGAUUCGUAAGAACGGCCCUGGUUAGAGGCAUAAGGCUCGAAAUUUAUUUAGAGUUUUAUUACAAUAUAUAUAGUCCAAAAAAGUCAUAUAUUGUUAAAGAUGAAAAUGAAUAUGCAAAGCAUAUUUCUUCAAAAAAAAAAAAAUAUGCAAAGCAUAUAAAAAAGAUUCUUUUGAUACCAAAAUAAAAAAAAUAAAAAAAAAAACACUUAAAAUAGGAAUUGGAUUAGAUGAUGUUGAUUUGGAUGCAAUCAUGAUCAAUCUCUAUCUUUAAAUCGUUCGAUCAAGAUCAAAUGAUAAAAAUCUUAAAUUCAAUGUUAAAAUUUGAACAAUCCGAUCUUAAUCGAAACAACAUUAAACUAGCCAACUAAUUGUCUUCAUGAAGUUGUGACUGAAACUCAAUCUCUUAAAAAACCAUACAAUCCAAAUUCAUGUCUUAUAUGCAGUGUUAUCAGUCAAGUCCAGUUGUCACAUGCAUUACAGUACAUUGAAUUUUGCACCAAUUAAUCUGAACCUUAUCAUCAACUAAGACAAAGACAUGUCCAAGAUAAAAAGAUUUCUUCCUUGUUCCUUGUUUUACAAAGCAAUCAUGUUUUGUCCUUUUUCUCUCCUCAAUAAAUAAAAUCACUUUACUUUGCUUCUUUCACCACUAUCAUCAUCAUCCAUAUACAUAGCCCACAAACCCCAUUUCAACAAGUUUAGAUUUUGAUUAGUGUUAGCCGCUUGAAUUACCAAAACAGUGAUGAAUUUGAGUAAAAAAAUUGACUUUGACACCAAAAGAAAAAUGGGUCUGAAUUUCAUGAUUUUGGUGGUUAUGGUUUCAUGGUUUUGGUCAAUUCCUACGACAUGUGCCUUGACUGCAAAACAACAAAAGAGUCGUCAGAAGCUGAGGUUUGAUCAAAAUGGUGAAUUCAAGAUAUUGCAGGUGGCAGAUAUGCACUAUGCAAAUGGAAAGACCACACUGUGUUUGGAUGUACUUCCUUCUCAGAAGGCUUCUUGUACUGACCUCAAUACUACUGCUUUCAUUCAUAGGAUGAUCCUUGCUGAGAAGCCUAAUCUUAUUGUCUUCACUGGUAUUGUUCUUUCUUUUACCUCUUGCUUUUUAUGUAAUCUGAAUAUUGUUGUAACAAUGAAACCCUAAUUAAUUGGCAGAACUGCGUAAACAAAGACCGUGUCUUAUUGUCUUGCGAUUUUAGUGUCUUUUAUUUUUCUAUUACUAGUUGGUGUUCUAACACAUUGAUUCAUUCAUUUUUAUUGUGUUUCUUAUAUGUGUGGAAAAACCUAUAACAAUCAUUUAGAAUUGGAGGGAGUAGCAUGAUGUUCUACUAGUUACUUGUAAAUGGAUGGAAAUGAAAUGAAUUGGAGUCGGCACUAUAAUGUUUUUGAUAUUUUUCAUUUAUUUAAUCAUCUUUGGUACAUCUAAGCAAAUUGCAGUUACAAGUUUUUUUUAUUGUUGAUAACCAAUUUUACAAAUUUAUUUCUGGUAUGACAGGAGAUAAUAUCUAUGGCUAUGAUUCCUCGGAUUCGGCUAAAUCGAUGAACGCUGCAUUUGCUCCUGCAAUUGAAUCAAACAUUCCUUGGGUGGCUGUUUUAGGGAACCAUGACCAAGAAGGAUCACUCUCUAGGGAAGGUGUGAUGAAAUAUAUUGUUGGAUUGAAAAACUCUUUAUCUAAAGUCAAUCCUCCAGAAGUACACAUCAUUGAUGGUUUUGGGAACAAUAACUUGGAGAUCGGUGGUGUUCAAGGUACUGUCUUUGAAAAUAAAUCAGUUCUCAAUCUAUACUUUCUUGACAGUGGAGAUUAUUCCAAAGUUCCGACGAUUCCUGGUUAUGAUUGGAUCAAGCCCUCACAGCAACUUUGGUUUGAGCGAACGUCUGCUAAUCUUCGGGUACUAUCACAUUAGCUUAUACCAAAUUAUCUAGUUUCUCUUUAUUGUUUAGUAUCUGACUUCACUCUUUAUUUAUUCUGCAGAAUGCAUAUAUAAAAGGACCGGCGCCACAAAAAGAAGCUGCUCCUGGUCUUGCAUACUUUCACAUCCCCUUACCGGAAUAUGCAAGUCUUGAUUCAUCAAACAUGACAGGUGUGAAAAUGGAAACAUAUAGCGGUGAUGGCAUUAGUUCUGCGUCGGUGAACUCUGGUUUCUUCACAACCUUGGUCGGAGCAGGAGACGUGAAGGCCGUUUUCGUUGGCCACGAUCACCUGAAUGACUUCUGCGGCAAGCUAAUGGAUAUACAACUUUGUUAUGCUGGAGGGUUCGGAUACCAUGCUUAUGGAAAGGCUGGAUGGUCUCGGAGGGCAAGAGUGGUGGUAGCUAGCUUGGAGAAGACAGAUAAAGGAAGCUGGGGAGCUGUCAAAUCAAUUAAAUCAUGGAAGCGCCUCGAUGAUCAGCAUCUUAC
rnacentral:lncRNA from 1 species